rnacentral:rRNA from 1 species
GAUGAACGCUGGCGGCGUGCCUAAUACAUGCAAGUCGAGCGAACAGAUAAGGAGCUUGCUCCUUUGACGUUAGCGGCGGACGGGUGAGUAACACGUGGGUAACCUACCUAUAAGACUGGGAUAACUUCGGGAAACCGGAGCUAAUACCGGAUAAUAUUUCGAACCGCAUGGUUCGAUAGUGAAAGAUGGUUUUGCUAUCACUUAUAGAUGGACCCGCGCCGUAUUAGCUAGUUGGUAAGGUAACGGCUUACCAAGGCGACGAUACGUAGCCGACCUGAGAGGGUGAUCGGCCACACUGGAAUUGAGACACGGUCCAGACUCCUACGGGAGGCAGCAGUAGGGAAUCUUCCGCAAUGGGCGAAAGCCUGACGGAGCAACGCCGCGUGAGCGAUGAAGGUCUUCGGAUCGUAAAACUCUGUUAUUAGGGAAGAACAUACGUGUAAGUAACUGUGCACGUCUUGACGGUACCUAAUCAGAAAGCCACGGCUAUCUACGUG